UAUUGACCCCAGGAGUCAUUUCUUCCUGCGUUCUAUACAAACCCCACUUAACCAGAAGUUUAAUAAACGAUAGCGAAUUUCUUUUUGUUCUCAUUUUAACCCCUUCUGUUCUCAUUUACCCAGUUCCUUCUGUACCACCUACAAAACUGUAAAAGCUUUUCUGUGCAGUUUUAUCUUCAAGACAGAAGCAGUGUAGGAUAUUCUUUUGGACUCUCUUCUUCAAUUCUGUUUAACGUUUUGCCUUUAUUUGAAACUCAACGUCACUCCAAAUAUGCUGCGGAUAAUGGCUAGAUCAGAUAUUUUGUCAUGAUUUUGCCGCGGGUUCACGUGAAUCUGAGUGCGUAUAAUGACUUUUUUUCUAUAAAGAAACACAGAGCGUAAGCAUUACAAGUAGAAAAAGUAAGUCAAAUGAACGGAUGAGAUUGAAACUUGACUGAAUUAUUAUGAUCGGUACAGCUUUGUUUUCUUUAGGUCCCAUUUCUUUUACUCCAAUAACACGACAUCUGAUCUGACCAUGUUUGUUUGCCCCACACGGUUUGCUAAUUGCUUUACAUACUUAUUUUUUGGCCUUUUAUGGUAUAAACAAACGAACAUAGUAAAGUCAAUACUUAAUAGUGUUUAAUUUUGUGAUUUGGAAGAUACACGUCUUCUAUGAGAAUUAUAACCCACCUAAUUCAAUUUCAAUGGUUUAGUUUUCUAGUGUAAAAUGGACAUGAAGUAACACAGUUUAGCAUUGUUUUCUUCUAUUGCUUUUGUUUUCUUUCAUUUUUUUAAAUAUUCCUCACAACCUGUUACUUGCAGAAAGCCUGAAAUUAAUACAUAAAUAAGAAAUUUAAAAAUAUUUCUCUCAUUAGAUUCAAGUAUUUGGUCUCACUCAUGUGCUAGUGAAGCCCUAGAUUUUGAGUUCCCUUGAGCAUAACAGACAUCGUAACAAUGGCUUUCUGGUGGCCAAUAAUCGUGCUCGCUUUUGCCUGUGCGAUUUGCCGGUUCUUGUUGAUGCUUAUCCCGACCAAUGUGCCUUCAAUUGACGUCGAUGCAUCCGAUGUUUUAGAUGGGAAUCAAAAGGAAGAGAAUAGCUUUAUUUAUGUAAGUUUUUUUCUUUCCUAUUUGUAUUAAUUCUUGAUUUGUAUACUUGACGUGUUUAAUUAGAGUUCAGAGAGCAAACAUCGUUUGAACUAAUUGUGCAUUAGUAAUUGUAAACAUCGUUUUGAACUAAUUGUGCAUUAGUAAUGUAAACAUCGUUUUGAAUUA